GACGAACGCUGGCGGCGUGCUUAACACAUGCAAGUCGAACGGAAAGGCCCUGCUUUUGUGGGGUGCUCGAGUGGCGAACGGGUGAGUAACACGUGAGUAACCUGCCCUUGACUUUGGGAUAACUUCAGGAAACUGGGGCUAAUACCGGAUAGGAGCUCCUGCUGCAUGGUGGGGGUUGGAAAGUUUCGGCGGUUGGGGAUGGACUCGCGGCUUAUCAGCUUGUUGGUGGGGUAGUGGCUUACCAAGGCUUUGACGGGUAGCCGGCCUGAGAGGGUGACCGGCCACAUUGGGACUGAGAUACGGCCCAGACUCCUACGGGAGGCAGCAGUGGGGAAUAUUGCACAAUGGGCGGAAGCCUGAUGCAGCAACGCCGCGUGCGGGAUGACGGCCUUCGGGUUGUAAACCGCUUUCGCCUGUGACGAAGCGUGAGUGACGGUAAUGAGUAAAGAAGCACCGGCUAACUACGUGCCAGCAGCCGCGGUGAUACGUAGGGUGCGAGCGUUGUCCGGAUUUAUUGGGCGUAAAGGGCUCGUAGGUGGUUGAUCGCGUCGGAAGUGUAAUCUUGGGGCUUAACCCUGAGCGUGCUUUCGAUACGGGUUGACUUGAGGAAGGUAGGGGAGAAUGGAAUUCCUGGUGGAGCGGUGGAAUGCGCAGAUAUCAGGAGGAACACCAGUGGCGAAGGCGGUUCUCUGGGCCUUUCCUGACGCUGAGGAGCGAAAGCGUGGGGAGCGAACAGGCUUAGAUACCCUGGUAGUCCACGCUGUAAACGGUGGGUACUAGGUGUGGGGUCCAUUCCACGGGUUCCGUGCCGUAGCUAACGCUUUAAGUACCCCGCCUGGGGAGUACGGCCGCAAGGCUAAAACUCAAAGGAAUUGACGGGGCCCCGCACAAGCGGCGGAGCAUGCGGAUUAAUUCGAUGCAACGCGUAGAACCUUACCUGGGUUUGACAUGGAUCGGGAGUGCUCAGAGAUGGGUGUGCCUCUUUUGGGGUCGGUUCACAGGUGGUGCAUGGCUGUCGUCAGCUCGUGUCGUGAGAUGUUGGGUUAAGUCCCGCAACGAGCGCAACCCUUGUUCACUGUUGCCAGCACGUUAUGGUGGGGACUCAGUGGAGACCGCCGGGGUCAACUCGGAGGAAGGUGGGGAUGACGUCAAGUCAUCAUGCCCCUUAUGUCCAGGGCUUCACGCAUGCUACAAUGGCUGGUACAGAGAGUGGCGAGCCUGUGAGGGUGAGCGAAUCUCGGAAAGCCGGUCUCAGUUCGGAUUGGGGUCUGCAACUCGACCUCAUGAAGUCGGAGUCGCUAGUAAUCGCAGAUCAGCAACGCUGUGGUGAAUACGUUCCCGGG
rnacentral:rRNA from 1 species